UACGAAGGGAGCUAGCGUUGUUCGGAAUCACUGGGCGUAAAGCGCACGUAGGCGGAUGUGUCAGUCAGGGGUGAAAUCCCGGAGCUCAACUUCGGAACUGCCUUUGAUACAGCACGUCUUGAGUCCGAUAGAGGUGGGUGGAAUUCCUAGUGUAGAGGUGAAAUGCGCAGAUAUUGGGAAGAACACCAGUGGCGAAGGCGGUUCUCUGGGACGGUACUGACGCUGAGACGCGAAAGCGUGGGGAGCGAACAGG
rnacentral:rRNA from 1 species